rnacentral:lncRNA from 1 species
AUGGAAGUCAUCUGCUAUAGAAGGUCGGACAAAAAUUUUUUGUUGGAGAAAUUCGGUUGGAGUCUGGUUGCUAGAGAAGUCCGUCUGAAAUUUAUCUGAUGUAGAAGCUUGUCUGAAGACUAUCCACUGGAGAGGUCCGGUUGCAUGAAAAAUCUGGUAGAAGGUCGAUCGAUAGCAGAAUUUGGAAGGCACUAUAGAAGGUUGACCGAUAGAAG